rnacentral:rRNA from 1 species
GGAUUAGAUACCCUGGUAGUCCACGCUGUAAACGAUGGGCACUAGGUGUUGGUAGGGUAGAACCUAUCGGUGCCGGAGCUAACGCAUUAAGUGCCCCGCCUGGGGAGUACGGCCGCAAGGCUGAAACUCAAAGGAAUUGACGGGGGCCCGCACAAGCGGUGGAGCAUGUGGUUUAAUUCGAUGCAACGCGAAGAACCUUACCUGGGCUUGACAUAUAGGUGAUCGACCCGAAAAGGAAGUGACCCAGCUUGCUGGGAUCCUAUACAGGUGCUGCAUGGCUGUCGUCAGCUCGUGCCG